CAAUUUAUAGUUAAAUACUAUAAUUUCAUUAUCUGAUAUAAUGUAUACCAACCUAUUGAAGUACUGAAAUCUGUUUUGUACCUUUGCAAUACACUGAU